rnacentral:misc_RNA from 1 species
UUAAAGGUGGUUGGUAGGGCAGUUACUCGUGCUGGUGUAACCAACCUCCAAGAAUCCAUUUCUUCUUCUUCUUCUGCCAUUUCUAGGUCGUCCCAAAGGCUCAAUUCUUCCAGUAAUAAUAAUCUUAUCUUAUCUUCAGCUUUUGGGUCUCCUUUUGGUAUUACUUGCAAUGUUCCAGUAUCUGCUAAUUCUGGGGGUCCCAACGCCUCUUGCUGGCCUUCUUUUGCUCCUUCUGGUUCUUGUUGUGAUGAUUAUGAGUGGGUUUCUGUGGAAGGGAGUGAAGAGGAUACUGCAAUUGUAGUUGGUGAUGAUUUUGUUCUGGGACCUGUUCCUUCCAGGGACGAAGUUCAUAGCGCUGUCUCUGCCCUUACACAGGUAUUUGAUGCUGCGUCGUACCCACAGUUCAUUACAGAUAAAUUUGCUUGUAAUGUGGAUAUGGAUGUAGCAGAUGAAAUUUUGAGUCCAACUGGGAAGCUGCCCCAUGUUUCUCCAGCAGGGUCAGAAAUAGAUUGGCUGGAGCCCUCUCC